rnacentral:rRNA from 1 species
CGAUNUGACAUCCAAUWAGGACCAGCCGACGUUAAACGCUCGUAGUCGGAGUUGUUUGGAUAGAGGAUAAAAUGAGGGGGARAUCGAAAGGUUUCYYUCUGACUCUUCCAAUUCAUUGGAUUGUGCAUGUGYRUGGGUUCGCCUGYAAUUACUGCCCUUCCACAUUUACUUUGAGGAAAUUGGAGUGUUCAUAGCAGUCGUCUUGACUGAACAGUUUAGCAUGGGAUAAUAGAAUAUGGCAAGGUGCUAUUUCUAUGGUUCUCAAUAGCAAUUUAUUUUGCAAUGAUCAAUGGGAGUGGAUGGGGCCGCCGCUAUUGUGGAGCUAGAGGUGAAAUUCUAUGAUUUCCGCAGGAGCAACAAAUGCGAAAGCAUCCGGCCAGUACAUGUCCGUCGAUCAAGAACGAAGGGAGUGGUAUCGAAGAUGAUUAGAUACCGUCGUAGUCACUCCAGUAAACGCUGAUAGCUCGAGAUAAGGGGGAUGUAACUUAAAACUUGCACCUCUUUGCAUCGUAUGAGAAAUCAAAGCAUUCAUAUCUCCGGGGGGAGUAUGGCCGCAAGACUGAAACUUAAAGGAAUUGACGGAAGGGCACCACAAGGCGUGGAACCUGCGGCUUAAUUUGACUCAACACGGGAAAACUUACCAGGUCCGGACAUAGUAAGGAUUGACAGAUGGAGAGAUCUUUCUUGAUUCUGUGGCUGCUGGUGCAUGGCCGUUCUUAGUUGGUGGAUUGAUUUGUCUGUUUAAUUACGAUAACGAACGAGAUGAUCAUGAGAUAAUAGGRUAURAAAUGGAAACAUUUUGUAUUUCCUUCUUUCUCAGAUUGAUGGAACCAAGCCAUCUGAAAUGAUCGCAAUAACAGGUCUGUGAUGCCCUUAGAUGUUCUGGGCUGCACGCGCGUUACAAUGGAGAUGUCAACAAGUUUUUGAUUCGGUUCAUUCUGUGAUCAUUAUGCUUCCUUGAAAGGGGUGGCUAAUCUUUUUAAACAUCUCCUUGCUGGGGAUUGGUGGUUGUAAUUGUCCGCCAUGAACCAGGAAUGCCUAGUAAUCGCUUGUCAUCAGCAAGCGAUGAUUACGUCCCUGCCCUUUGUACACACCGCCCGUCGCUCCUACCGAUUGGAUUGUCCGGUGAGAAUGGAGGACACUGGAUUGAGGUGAGCAAUCAYUUCUUUUUGGUGAAAUCCAUUCAAAUCUUAUAAUCUAGAGGAAG